rnacentral:lncRNA from 1 species
CUGUGCUACUUGCUGUCCUUACAUCACCCCAUUUGAUCCUCACAACAGGCUUGUGAGGAGGAAGCCCAAUUAUCCCACUUACAGGCGAGGAUGGAGAGGGGCUGAGCCUCGCUCACUCAGUGCCAGGCAGCCUGCAGGACAGCAGGACCAGGACCUUCCUCGAGAAGGUGCUGAGGCUUCCUCCGAAAGAUGGAAUAGACUUGGCUUGUCUGGCAAAGCUUUGUCCAAGGAGUUGCUGCAACGGAGGUUGAAUCAGGAGUCCAGUGACCAGCUCUUGCACACGGGGUGUGGGUAGAGUCCUCUGCAGGGAUGCAUUAAGCAGGUCAAAAUACAGUGACAGUGAAGCAAUCAAAAAGAAACAGGGUAGCCAAGUGCCUUCUGCAUUGUUCUUUUCUCCCAGCAAACUUCCAUUAGGCCCCAAGUGUUUGUGCAUUUCAGUAAGCAUUUAUUGAGUGCCUACUUCGUCCUCAGAACUGUUCCAGGGCUCUAGGGGAGACAAGAGGCUGAAUCUAAUUGAGUGGACAGCAAAUGUGAGCUGAAUGAACAGAGGGAGACAGCGAUCAAACCCCAGGAUGAAGGGUUUCAGAAGAGGAGCUUGCCUCACAGAGAAAAGCAGCUCCGUUUGGAUCGGCCUGAGAACCUGCGCCUGAACAUCUCGCUUUCGGGGAACGCACGUUUCCCUGGGAAGAGCUGAUGGCUGGCUGGUUGAGAGGGAGGCUUCAGGAGACGAAAGGGCCAGGCUCACCCGUACUGGACAAGGUCCUCUCUCGCGCGCCCCUGGAGACGGCAGUGCACUUGGCCGUCUUUCCUGUGACCUGUCAGGAUUUGAAGGCACUCUCACAAACCUGUCCAGCAAUCCAUUGUUCUGAGGCUUAAUCCAAACUGAAAUCCAUUUGGAGAGCCUCAGAAGUGUCUCGUGGCAAAGCUGGAUGUGUGGCCUCCGUAGCGCAUCCUGAAGCCAGCAGCAUCCCGGCCAUUGCUAAUUCCCUGGGGAUCAAUGUGAAUGGAAGGAAAAUAAAAGCCGCCUUGGAUUUUGCA